GCCUAAAAUCUAGCCCUACUCCACCCGCAUGAACACCUUAACCCUAUGCCCUCCAAACAAAACAUUUUAACAUUUUAGUACAGGCGAUCAAAAAAUUUCUAGGCGCUUCAGAUACAGUACCGCAAGGGAAUGAUGAAAUAAUAAUGAAAUAACUUUAAAGCCCAAAACAGCAGAGACUCACCCUCGUACCUUUUGCAUCAUGGUCUAGCUAGUCCAACCAAGCAAAAAGAAACUUUUAGUUUGACUCCCCGAAACUAAGCGAGCUACUUCAAAACAGCCCAAAGGGGCCAACCCGUUCUCUGUUGCAAAAGAGUGGGAAGAUUUUCAAGUAGAGGUGAAAAGCCUACCGAGCUUAGAGAUAGCUGGUUGUUCAGGAAAAGAGUUUAAGCUCUACCUUAAGUUUUUACCGUUACCCCAAACACAACCUUAAACUUAAGAGCUAUUCAAAUAAGGCACAGCUUAUUUGAAGCAGGGUACAACCUCAGACACCGGGUAAAUAUGGGUGCACCCAAGUAAAGUGGGCCUAAAAGCAGCCACCUUCUAAAAAGCGUUAAAGCUUAACCACAAGCUUCCCUUAAUUCCUUAAAUUUACUUUAACCCUUAAUCACUACUGAACUAUUUUAUAUUAAUAUAAAAGUCAUUAUGCUAGAACUAGUAAUAAGAAAUUGCCUUUCUCCUAAAUGCAAGCAUAAACCAAAAUGGACCUACCAUUGGUAGUUAACGUAAAUGUCUCUAUUAUAGCAACACUCAACUAGAAAACCCUAUAAUCACUAACGUUAGCCUAACACCAGCGCAUUUCAGGAAAGAUUAAAAGAGAAAGAAGGAACUCGGCAAACCUUAGCCCCGCCUGUUUACCAAAAACAUCGCCUCUUGAUUAAACAUAAGAGGUCCAGCCUGCCCAGUGACAUAGUUUAACGGCCGCGGUACCCUAACCGUGCGAAGGUAGCAUAAUCACUUGUUCUUUAAAUAGGGACUCGUAUCAACGGCAUCACGAGGGCUAUACUGUCUCCUUUCUCCAAUCAAUGAAACUGAUCUCCCCGUGAAGAAGCGGGGAUUAACCUAUAAGACGAGAAGACCCCAUGGAGCUUCAAACUCAACAUAUACCUCUACGCACUUAAACCACUUUAGCCCAAGAGACCUCUAUGUUAGUUUUGGGUUGGGGGGACCGCGGAGUAAAAAUUAACCUCCACGACAAACGGGCUUUAUGCCCUUAUCCACGAACUACAACUCUAAGAAUCAAUAAACUGAUGUUUAUGACCCGAUUAUUCGAUCAACGAACCAAGUUACCCUGGGGAUAACAGCGCAAUCUACUUCAAGAGCCCCUAUCGACAAGUAGGUUUACGACCUCGAUGUUGGAUCAGGGUAUCCUAGUGGUGCAGCCGCUACUAAUGGUUCGUUUGUUCAACGAUUAAAACCCUACGUGAUCUGAGUUCAGACCGGAGCAAUCCAGGUCGGUUUCUAUCUAUAAAGCGUUUCCCCUAGUACGAAAGGAUCGGGGCAACAUGGCCAAUGUAAAAACAAGCCAUACUCUUCACUAAUGAAUUUAUCUCAAUUAGUUCGGACCUAACACUGCACCGCAGACCAAGGU
rnacentral:rRNA from 1 species